UACGAAGGGGGCUAGCGUUGUUCGGAUUUACUGGGCGUAAAGCGCACGUAGGCGGAUUGUUAAGUCAGGGGUGAAAUCCCGGAGCUCAACUCCGGAACUGCCUUUGAUACUGGCAAUCUUGAGGCUGGAAGAGGUUAGUGGAAUUCCCAGUGUAGAGGUGAAAUUCGUAGAUAUUGGGAAGAACACCAGUGGCGAAGGCGGCUAACUGGUUCAGAUCUGACGCUGAGGUGCGAAAGCGUGGGGAGCAAACAGG
rnacentral:rRNA from 1 species